GACGAACGCUGGCGGCGUGCUUAACACAUGCAAGUCGAACGGAAAGGCCCUGCUUUUGUGGGGUGCUCGAGUGGCGAACGGGUGAGUAACACGUGAGUAACCUGCCCUUGACUUUGGGAUAACUUCAGGAAACUGGGGCUAAUACCGGAUAGGAGCUCCUGCUGCAUGGUGGGGGUUGGAAAGUUUCGGCGGUUGGGGAUGGACUCGCGGCUUAUCAGCUUGUUGGUGGGGUAGUGGCUUACCAAGGCUUUGACGGGUAGCCGGCCUGAGAGGGUUGCCGGCCACAUGGGGACUGAGAUACGGCGCAGAAGCCUACGGGAGGCAGCAGUGGGGAAUAUUGCAGAAUGGGGGGAAGCCUGAUGCAGCAACGCCGGGUGCGGGAUGACGGCCUUCGGGUUGUAAACAGAUUUCGCCUGUGACGAAGAGUAAGUGACGGUAAUGGGUAAAGAAGCACCGGCUAACUACGUG
rnacentral:rRNA from 1 species